UACGUAGGGGGCAAGCGUUGUCCGGAUUUAUUGGGCGUAAAGAGCGUGUAGGCGGCCUGGUAGGUCAGCUGUGAAAACUCGAGGCUCAACCUCGAGACGCCGGUUGAAACCAUCAGGCUAGAGUCCGGAAGAGGAGAGUGGAAUUCCUGGUGUAGCGGUGAAAUGCGCAGAUAUCAGGAAGAACACCAAUGGCGAAGGCAGCUCUCUGGGACGGUACUGACGCUGAGACGCGAAAGCGUGGGGAGCGAACAGG
rnacentral:rRNA from 1 species